ACGUACGCUGGCGGCGUGCUUAACACAUGCAAGUCGAACGGAAAGGCCCCUUUGGGGGUACUCGAGUGGCGACCGGGUGAGUAACACGUGAGUAACCUGCCCUUGACUUCGGGAUAACUUCAGGAAACUGGGGCUAAUACCGGAUAGGAAUCCUUGCUGCAUGGUGGGGGUUGGAAAGCUUCGGCGGUUUUGGAUGGACUCGCGGCUUAUCAGCUUGUUGGUGGGGUAGUGGCUUACCAAGGCUUUGACGGGUAGCCGGCCUGAGAGGGCGACCGGCCACAUUGGGACUGAGAUACGGCCCAGACUCCUACGGGAGGCAGCAGUGGGGAAUAUUGCACAAUGGGCGGAAGCCUGAUGCAGCAACGCCGCGUGCGGGAUGACGGCCUUCGGGUUGUAAACCGCUUUCAGCAGGGGCGAAGCUUGUGGUGACGGUACCUGCAGAAGAAGCACCGGCUAACUACGUG
rnacentral:rRNA from 1 species